CCAAGAGUGAACCAGCCAUGGGGAAGCUUUGCAACCUGGGGCCUGCAGCAUCCCACUGAAGCCCUUUCCCAGCCUACAUUCUACAACCCCUGCCUCACACAGUCACUUUCAGGAUUCAAUAAGAAAGCACCGUUUCCACAGCACCAGGAUUUCCAAGAAGAGAAAACUGGAGAUGCCAAACAGAGUAACACUCACCCUUAGGAACAGAACAUUCUUUGGAAAGAUGCUUGCAACUUUACACCAUAGCCAAGGUUAACACUCAUCUCCUUUUGAGAAUGGGGUUGGGGACAUUGAGGCUCAAAGAAUAAAUCUGGUCAGAGAUAAUCCAAGGGCAAAACUAGGGCCCGAUAUUCUCACCUGGCCCCCCCGCACACUCACCCAACACUGGGAAGCAUCUUGCUGAGCACAUACAUUGUCAGGUGGCCAGCAGCAGAGUGACCAGGGGCCAUGGCCAGGUCAGAUUGCUUAGGGCUGAGCUGUGGCUCCACCACUUGGUGGCCGUGUGACCUUGGACAAAGUCCUGAGCCUCCCUCAUCUCAGUGUCAUCCUGGAAAACAUGGAGAUAGCAUUAGCGAUUGCCGUUCUGGACAGUUCUGAGGAAUACAUGAGCCAACCUGUGUGAAUUACUUGAACGAUGUCUCUCCCAUCGCUGCAUAGAUCCUGGCCACCGUUAUCAUUAUUAAUUCGUAUGAUUUCCCAUUCCCUUGUGUUCAUAAGGACUAACACCAACACUAAUGUCCUCACUGCCUCUUCCCCAGAGAGUGAUGCCACAUGAUGGUAGGACAGGGAUCCUCCUGUAGACUCCAGGAGCUUUGCCUGGAAGCUGCUUCAUACCAGACAGAGAAGCAGCCUGCUCCCUCUAGGACAAGCCUCUGUCCUGGUCCACCUUCCCUUGAAGGUCCGUCCCUUACCACCUGGCAGCAAAGCCCCCUCCAGGCUCCCCACUGGCUCCACCUUCCUGCCACAACUAGAAUGCUGCAGCCUGGGCAGCUAGGACCUGAGACCCAAGACUGAGCCUGGACCCUGAGAGGGGAUCAGGUGGGCUUUCUGGGGGAGGGAGCGGUGGGACUCACAGCUUUUAAAGAGACAGUGUCCGCAGGGCUCUGUGUGGACUGAGCCUUGCUCAAUGGAGCCUCCAGGGCAAUUACCCUAAUCACGUGCCUCUCCCAAACAGCCUUUUGAUUUAUUAACGCGACAUCUUUUUAAAAUGCCGCUCUUAAAUAUAAAUAACACUUAAUCAUC